rnacentral:lncRNA from 1 species
CAUAGUUAACGGGAGAUUUAACAGUUUGACUAACGGAUGCUUGAGACUAUCCUAAAAUUUACACUUUAGGUAUGACUUUGGGACUUAAAAAACUUGAUGUACUAAAUGUUGAAAACCAUGAAACAUGAGGGUAGUAAACAAAGAUUUACCCUAAUCUUAACCAUUCAAAUAGCAAGAUAGAGAAGGAAAAAGAAGUUAGGAUGGGAAAGAAUUCUCCUCCUAUAGAAAAGGGUGAUCGUGUUGAUGACUUGGUUUUAUUUGUUUCUUCACUUUUGAACUUAUUUUCAAAUUGAUUAAUUUCUUCCCAUUUUUUCUUUAAUAAUUCGAGACGGUUAGCCAUUUUUUCACUAAUCUUUGUAUUAAAAAAAAGAAGAACUAUUAUUCAGGAAAAGACAAGAAAUGAAGCAAAACCAUGAAACUAUUGUAAGUGAUGCCCAUGUGGGCAAAAUAGUUAAUUUGCAUAUGGUGAAUAGUAUUUACUAUUUUAUUAUAGUGCCUUUUGUCUGUAAAAGAUGGAAGUAAGGCGGUGAUAUUUACCUAAAGGAGCCAUGCUGAGACUCCAAAUAUAGAUUGAAAAACACAGCUUUUCAGUCAUUCUUUGUGAAACAUAAAAAAGCACAAACAACAGUGGAAAGAAAUCAAACAAGUUUCUUUUCACUCUUUUCUUUUGUAUCCAUCUCUCAUACCCGAAACAAGUAAGAUAUUAAGGAAGUGUAAUACUCUGAUAUUGUUCCACUUCACCCUCCAGUAAAGGUUCUCCAUUCUCUUUUUCGCCUAUUUAUAACACGUUAUCAUCAUGACUAUUUAACCUUAAUCAGUCUUCAUUUCCUUCGUUGAAAAAUGUUUCCAUAAGCAUAUUACUUUUCCUCCUUCUUCUUUGCCCUACCUGCUUUGUGUUUCCUAGCCAAGAAUUGGUAGCAUCAUGCCUUCUCCUAGUCCUCAACUUAAUAAUUACCUAUAUUUUUUAAUUUCUUAUUUGGUGUAGCUCCUGAUUACUAAUCAUGCACUACAUUUUAGAUGGUGUGGUACAACCGCUCAUCUUGCACUGCAUAUUUAAUUUUACAGUAAUCUUAGAUGGUGUGGUAUAAUCACCCAUCCUGCACUGCAUAUUUAAUUUUACUGCAAUUUUAGAUGGUGUGGUAUAGUUGCCCAUCUUGCAUUACAAUAUUGUGCUGAGAAUGGUGCAGUACAAUCGCCCUGUGAAGGAAAAUUUUUGUCCUAGCUAAAAAUAUGUGAGAAUAUUUGAACACAUAUGCAAACUAUUAACAUAUUAAAGUAGGCAUGCAUUCAAAAACAAUUCUAAAACCAAUGACUUUCAAAGCCUAGUGAAUGGUGAACCAUGAGACUCUUUAACAACAUUAAAGAGAAAGAAGGUUUUAGAGAUUCAUUAUCCUUAAAGCUCAUCCUUGUUUACACAAGGGAUUCACCCAAGUGGAAGGCUUUCAAGUCACCUCCUAGCUCCUUGGAUCUUCCUUGUGAUUUUCUUCCUUUUGAUGCUCCUUUGCUCCUUGAGGAUGUGAGGAAAGGAUCUCCAAAAACACCAAAGAUUUGGUGUCUCUAAGUCUCCACACCAAGGAUGAGGUGUGAAGAUGAAAUGGAUGACUUAGAGAAGAAAAGAUUGCUAGCUAUAUCUUCCCUAUGUGGCCGGCCUCCUUGUAGAGAAAAAGAGAGAAAAUGUUUCUCUUCUUUGUCUCAAGAAAACCCUAAUGAGAAAUAGCUAUAAAGUUGACUUUAUAAUACAUCACAUUUGAGUGACAAACUUGUAAUUAAUUCAAGUUUGCAUCCACUCACCCUUAUGGCCGGCCUUGUCCCAAUACGAACCUUUUGUAAAAUUAAUUAACUAAUUAAUUAAUCUUGACCAUUCUCAAUUAAACCAUUUAAUCGCUUAUCCAUCUCAUUUAUAUUUCUUCACUUUCACCCUUACUCGGUGUACGAUCCAUUAGGUUCCAAUUAGCGAGGCAGUGGGCGAUUGUUACUCUUAAUGAUCGAUUGUGAAUUGAAACAACAUUUCAAUUCUCCCUUUGUUGAAGAUUAGUGUUUGCUAAUCUUCAGGGCUUCCACAAACCAUGAGUGACACCUAGCAGUAUGUCAUGUCUACCCAAGCUAAGUAGAAGUGGUUGGAGAACCUAUCCAGUUACAAUUACAAUGCAAUACGGUCAUUCUCUAAUACAAUACUCUUAAUCACAUUGUUUGAAUGAUAGUUUGUUUCAUGUCUACUAUCCAAUGUGAUACUUCUUUAUAUGAUUCAAUGGAAUAUGAUUUGGAACAUACUUCCUAAGUCAUAUUCGUAUGCUUUGGCCAAGACUCCCGAAUCAUAUCUUAGAGUAUUCUCAUUCCACCAUGGAAGGUUAGAGAUCCCUUGUUGUGCAUUCAUAUGCCUACAUGACUAGAUAGCUUGACCCCAACAAUGCCGUCGACACUCUCGAUGGAAUGCCUUUCACAUGAUCAAAGAUCAAAGACCUAACCAUUAGACAUCUAUGAUGCCUCAGGUCAAAGGACUACUUUGCAUAUUGCAACUAACGAGUUCUUACAUGACAUGUAUGUUCGAACUCUCUUUUGAUCGUUGUUCAGUGUACUCGAUUACUCUUUCAAGCACCUAUGUGUUUGUCUUAGUGUCCAACACUAAAUGACUUGAGACUAGUCAUACUCACGCUUGAGUUGACAUAACACAUACUAACCUUAGCGGAUUGUCAAUGCCUAAUUGGCAAUCCUAUGGCUAGGAACGUUUUAGGAAUGAACAUAAGAGAAAGGUCUCGUUAAUCUAACUUGCUUAAAUCACUUCUCUCUUAGAUCAAAUACAUUCCUUGGAUUCCCUUAUUGCUUAAACACAUGAUACAAUAA